UAAUAAAGUUCUCAAAUUUCUCAUGAUAAAAAUGUGCUCAAAUUUGUGCUAUUGUGAAAUAGGGAAAAGUGAGGGAAAACACAAGGCAAGCUGUUGCCAGUUACCUUACUUUGAAGAGAGAGACUAAAGAUUUGAAGGUCUAUGUUGAUGACUCGAGGAGCAUGUGUCAGGGCAAAGGAAAUACUGAUGGCCGGAUAACUGCAAAGAACCCUCUGCCACCUAUAAGGAA